AGAGUUUGAUCAUGGCUCAGAUUGUACGCUGGCGGCAGGCUUAACACAUGCAAGUCGAACGGUAACAGGAAGGAAGCUUGCUUUCUUUGCUGACGAGUGGCGGACGGGUGAGUAAUGCUUGGGAAUCUGGCUUAUGGAGGGGGAUAACUACGGGAAACUGUAGCUAAUACCGCGUAAUAUCUUCGGAUUAAAGGGUGGGACCGUAAGGCCACCUGCCAUAAGAUGAGCCCAAGUGGGAUUAGGUAGUUGGUGGGGUAAAGGCCUACCAAGCCGACGAUCUCUAGCUGGUCUGAGAGGAUGACCAGCCACACUGGAACUGAGACACGGUCCAGACUCCUACGGGAGGCAGCAGUGGGGAAUAUUGCACAAUGGGGGGAACCCUGAUGCAGCCAUGCCGCGUGAAUGAAGAAGGCCUUCGGGUUGUAAAGUUCCUUCGGUGAUGAGGAAGGCGGUUGUUUUAAUAGAACAAUCGAUUGACGUUAGUCACAGAAGAAGCACCGGCUAACUCCGUGCCAGCAGCCGCGGUAAUACGGAGGGUGCGAGCGUUAAUCGGAAUGACUGGGCGUAAAGGGCACGCAGGCGGUGACUUAAGUGAGAUGUGAAAGCCCCGGGCUUAACCUGGGAAUUGCAUUUCAUACUGGGUCGCUAGAGUAUUUUAGGGAGGGGUAGAAUUCCACGUGUAGCGGUGAAAUGCGUAGAGAUGUGGAGGAAUACCGAAGGCGAAGGCAGCCCCUUGGGAAUAUACUGACGCUCAUGUGCGAAAGCGUGGGGAGCAAACAGGAUUAGAUACCCUGGUAGUCCACGCUGUAAACGCUGUCGAUUUGGGGAUUGGGCUUUAAGCUUGGUGCCCGUAGCU
rnacentral:rRNA from 1 species